rnacentral:lncRNA from 1 species
AUUUUUAACCCUUAAUUUAGCUCUAAACUCCUAAUUUCUCUCCAUAGAUAAACCCUAAGAUUUUCAGACGAAGGCUACUUGGUGGUGUGCGGCGGCAACUAUGAUAGAGCCUCUAGCUAUUGUGUUCUUUUUCAUCCAUUGUUAGCUUCAAUUUAAAUGUUAGGUGUUAAUUGUUUUUGUAGUUAGGGUUAAGAAAUCCUAAUUUUUAAG